rnacentral:rRNA from 1 species
GACGAACGCUGGCGGCGUGCUUAACACAUGCAAGUCGAACGAAGUGGCGAACGGGUGAGUAACGAGUAAUCAACCUGCCCUUCAGGGGGGGACAACAGUUGGAAACGAAUGAUAAUACCGCAUACUGAAGGAGGGGAUGGCGUGUGAUUAGCUAGGUGGAGGGGUAAAGGCCCACCAAGGCGAUGAGCAGUAGCCGGUUUGAGGGGAUGAACGGCCACAUUGGGACGUGGACACGGCCCAGACUCCUACGGGAGGCAGCAGUGGGGAAGUUUCCGCAAUGGGCGAAAGCCUGAUCCAGCCAUGCCGCGUGUGUGAAGAAGGUCUUCGGAUUGUAAAGCACUUUAAGUUGGGAGGCGUUACCAACAGAAUAAGCACCGGCUAACUUCGUGCCAGCAGCCGCGGUAAUAC